rfam:Anisakis simplex genome assembly, scaffold: ASIM_contig0024177
CCAACGGCCCUCUUUAGGGCCACCAAAACAAUAAACCAAAACUUGU